rnacentral:rRNA from 1 species
UACGUAGGUGGCAAGCGUUGUCCGGAUUUACUGGGCGUAAAGGGCGCGUAGGCGGUCUUCUAAGUCUUGUGUGAAAUCCCUCGGCUCAACUGAGGAACUGCACGGGAUACUGGAAGACUUGAGUUCGGGAGAGGGUAGUGGAAUUCCCGGUGUAGUGGUGAAAUGCGUAGAUAUCGGGAGGAACACCAGUGGCGAAGGCGACUACCUGGCCUGGUUCUUGACGCUGAGGCGCGAAAGCUAGGGGAGCAAACGGGG